GGUAACUCCACCAAAUCACAAUGGAUUGGUUUUAAAUACAUCGACUGGGACACAUGGCUUGAAAGGAAAUAACACACACUACUGUCUGGGCUCGUUCCUGAAGGAAGUGGUGGUGGGGGACAUCGGUGGCUAUGUUGACAGGUGCCUCCCUCCUCCAAGUACCACCUUCAAUGAAGAAAAUCUCAUACAACUUUGAACAUUCUGAAAACCUUGAAAAUGUUG